CCUCGGCAUCCCUAGUACGGCGAGUGACCGGGAAGAGCUCAAAUUUGAAAUCUGGCGUGCUCAGUGCGUCCGAGUUGUAAUCUAUAGAGUCGUUUUCCGUGCCGGACUGUGUCCAAGUCCCUUGGAACAGGGUAUCAAAGAGGGUGAUAAUCCCGUACUUGACACAAUGACCGGUGCUCUGUGAUACGUCUUCUACGAGUCGAGUUGUUUGGGAAUGCAGCUCAAAAUGGGUGGUGAGUUCCAUCUAAAGCUAAAUAUUGGCGAGAGACCGAUAGCGAACAAGUACCGUGAGGGAAAGAUGAAAAGCACUUUGGAAAGAGAGUUAAACAGUACGUGAAAUUGUUAAAAGGGAAACGAUUGAAGUCAGUCGUGACUGAGAGGCUCAGCCGGUUCUGCCGGUGUAUUCCCCUCAGUCGGGUCAACAUCAGUUUUGUUCGGUGGAUAAGGGCAGUUGGAAGGUGGCACCCUCGGGUGUGUUAUAGCCAGCUGUCGCAUACAUCGGAUGAGACUGAGGAAUGCAGCUCGCCUUUAUGGCCGGGGUUCGCCCACGUUCGAGCUUAGGAUGUUGACAUAAUGGCUUUAAACGACCCGUCUUGAAACCA
rnacentral:rRNA from 1 species